ACUGCCACCAAUGGUUCAAGCAGCAAAAAUGGGGUCCUGUGUGAAACUAAAGCUCCUGAACCAAAAAAGAUUCCUGGAUGACGACAAACAAGCAGCUGCUGCAAAAAGGCUUGACUGAAACCAGGAGAAGACUGACAGGAGAGAUUAUUCCCGCGACCAGCGUGUACCGGCUCAUGGCUGCGUUGUGGUAGAGGUAGCAGGAGCCCGGCUCGCCACACUGAUCCUGCC